CGAAAGAUGGUUUUCUUCGGACACUCUUCAAGGUGCUGCAUGGUUGUCGUCAGCUCGUGCCGUGAGGUGUCCGGGUUAAGUCCCAUAACGAGCGCAACCCUUACCGUUAGUUACCAUCAGGUUAAGCUGGGGACUCUAGCGGGACUGCCACCGUAAGGUGAGAGGAAGUGGGGAUGACGUCAAAUCAGCACGGCCCUUAUGUCCAGGGCUACACACGUGUUACAAUGGCCGGUACAAAGGGCAGCUACUUCGCGAGAAGAUGCUAAUCUCGAAAGCCGGUCUCAGUUCGGAUCGAAGUCUGCAACCCGACUUCGUGAAGCUGGAUUCGCUAGUAAUCGCGCAUCAGCCAUGGCGCGGUGAAUACGUUCCCGGGCCUU
rnacentral:rRNA from 1 species